CAUGUUUGGGACUAGGAUCAGGGAAGAAAGGAAUAAGGUUAUUCUCCCCUUAUUCCUUCAUAUUCCUUCUCUUUCUUCCCCUUAACCUAUCUCAAUCUUUCCUUAUUCCUUCUCUCUCUUUUUCCCAAUUAGUGGUUUAUCCUUCCUUUCUCUUCGUUGUACCGUCCAUCUUCCACCUUCCUUCUCCAUUUGGCCGCCAAUCAACAACCUUCCUCUCAAUCUCCUUCUUUUUCUUGAUAACAAAGCAAGGUUUUCCCUCUUUUCCAUCACGAAGUCCUUCAAAUCCAACUGCUCAUCUCCUCCAUCAAUCUUCAUCUCCGUCAUGUUUACCCCCUUCGGCCGCUUUAGGUUUUUCUCCACCAUUCACUGUCUUCUUCUCUACGGUAUAGAUUUCAUCAAUUUAUCUUCUCCUUCGGUCUCCAUCUUCCACUGUGUUUAUGGGUUUCAUUGAUUGGCCCAAUUUCAAAAAAUUUAGGACCUCCGAAGCCUUUCCGUUGGUUGGGUUUUGGUUGAUUGGGCUUUUUGGUUCCUUCCAUGGCUUGUCUUCUAGACUUGCUGCUCGGAGCUCCUAUUCAUGCUUGGUCUUUCCCUUGCCGCUCCGAUUACCCCCUUGACACUCCGAUUUCCCUCUACUAAUGAGCGAAGAAUACUACCUCGAUUGCGGCUUUGGUGGUUCCAAGCAAGUUAGGGAUUAAGAUAACACCUUGUGGUGUGACAAGGUUUGAGCACAACAGGCGUAUCACCCUCUCUAUCACCCACUUCCAGGGAUUUGUGAUUGGUUUGCCAUUAAGGAUGCAUCUCUAAACUAAAAUUCAAACUAAGAAGAUGAUCAAUUCUCAAUUCGAGAUGUUUCCAAUUCAGUCAUCAUUACUAAGGGAAUCAUUUGUUCGGAGGGUCAUGUAAGAGUCUAUGGAGGCGUUGUCAAGGUCAAGACACAGUCCGAGGUUUGGUCAACCACUAUAGUGUCACGACGUCGAGUGUUCAGGACUCAAAACUAAGUCAUCCAUGUGGUGGUGUGCUAUGAGGGCAACGUGUGCCCUAGCAUGUGCAACGGCCUUACUGAUGGAAUAAAAAAACACUAGAGACAUGUAGCAGCGGAAGAUAUAGAUCAUGUUUUACUCUAUAUGCAUCUAAACGAUUUAGAAGUUAAAAUGCAUCUACCAUGCGAUGAAUCUAAACGAAGAGAGAGGAAGGUAAACGAUGUACUUACCUUUGUAGUUCUCAACUUCUUCUCUUCUUGAAAAUCACGAGCAAGGAAAACCACCAAGCUGACCUACUAUGCUCAAGACCAAGAACGGAGUUGUGGGACUCGGUUAUGCAAAGAGAAUUUUUAGAGAGAGAUAGGAUUCAAUCGUUUAGGUGUUUUUCCAGAGAAAACCUCUUUUUUUUUCUCAUUCGAUAAUGAGAAGUUUUAUAUGAAAUUUACAUG